rnacentral:rRNA from 1 species
UACGUAGGGUGCAAGCGUUGUCCGGAAUUAUUGGGCGUAAAGAGCUCGUAGGCGGUUUGUUGCGUCGGCUGUGAAAUCCCGAGGCUCAACCUCGGGUCUGCAGUCGAUACGAGCAAACUAGAGUGUUGCAGGGGAGACUGGAAUUCCUGGUGUAGCGGUGAAAUGCGUAGAGAUCGGGAGGAACACCUGUGGCGAAGGGCGGCUCGCUGGGCCGGAACUGACGCUGAGACGCGAAAGCGUGGGGAGCAAACAGG